AGCUCGCGCCUAUAAGUUAGGGGAGAGGAAAGGCUCACCAGGGGUGGGAGGGUAGCCGCCUGAAGGGGGACCGCCCAACGGGGAUUGGACACGGCCCAGAUUCUUCGGGAGGCAGCAGGGGGAAAUUUGCCCAAUGGGCGAAAGCCUGAUGCAGCAACGCCGCUGGAGGACGACGGCCUUCGGGUUGUAAACUUCUUUUAGCAGGGAAGAAGCGAAAGUGACGGUACCUGCAGAAAAAGCGCCGGCUAAUUACGUGCCAGCAGCCGCGGUAAUACGUAGGGCGCAAGCGUUAUCCGGAAUUAUUGGGCGUAAAGAGCUCGUAGGCGGUUUGUCGCGUCUGCUGUGAAAACCCGAGGCUCAACCUCGGGCCUGCAGUGGGUACGGGCAGACUAGAGUGCGGUAGGGGAGAUUGGAAUUCCUGGUGUAGCGGUGGAAUGCGCAGAUAUCAGGAGGAACACCGAUGGCGAAGGCAGAUCUCUGGGCCGUAACUGACGCUGAGGAGCGAAAGGGUGGGGAGCAAACAGGCUUAGAUACCCUGGUAGUCCACCCCGUAAACGUUGGGAACUAGUUGUGGGGACCAUUCCACGGUUUCCGUGACGCAGCUAACGCAUUAAGUUCCCCGCCUGGGGAGUACGGCCGCAAGGCUAAAACUCAAAGGAAUUGACGGGGACCCGCACAAGCGGCGGAGCAUGCGGAUUAAUUCGAUGCAACGCGAAGAACCUUACCAAGGCUUGACAUAUACGAGAACGCUGCAGAAAUGUAGAACUCUUUGGACACUCGUAAACAGGUGGUGCAUGGUUGUCGUCAGCUCGUGUCGUGAGAUGUUGGGUUAAGUCCCGCAACGAGCGCAACCCUCGUUCUAUGUUGCCAGCACGUAAUGGUGGGAACUCAUGGGAUACUGCCGGGGUCAACUCGGAGGAAGGUGGGGAUGACGUCAAAUCAUCAUGCCCCUUAUGUCUUGGGCUUCACGCAUGCUACAAUGGCCGGUACAAAGGGCUGCAAUACCGCGAGGUGGAGCGAAUCCCAAAAAGCCGGUCCCAGUUCGGAUUGAGGUCUGCAACUCGACCUCAUGAAGUCGGAGUCGCUAGUAAUCGCAGAUCAGCAACGCUGCGGUGAAUACGUUCCCGGGUCUUGUACACACCGCCCGUCAAGUCAUGAAAGUCGGUAACACCUGAAGCCGGUGGCCCAACCCUUGUGGAGGC
rnacentral:rRNA from 1 species